rnacentral:snoRNA from 1 species
UAGACCAAUAUGCUAAGGGGUCAUUUCUAUAGUUACUAGGGAAGCUUCUCUGUAGAAACCAUGAGGAGGAAGUGAAAUGCUCUCUCCUGAGAAUGAAGCUGGCUCUUGGCAUCGCUUGGUUAAAACUGCCGUUAGACAUUGGUGAUCAUUCUUUUCCCUUUGCAAGGGUGAGAGGGAAGUAAUGCUUUCUGAGUGGU